UACGAAGGGGGCUAGCGUUGCUCGGAAUUACUGGGCGUAAAGCGCACGUAGGCGGUCUUUUAAGUCGGGGGUGAAAUCCUGGAGCUCAACUCCAGAACUGCCUUCGAUACUGGAAGACUUGAGUCCGGGAGAGGUGAGUGGAACUGCGAGUGUAGAGGUGAAAUGCGUAGAGAUUAGGAAGAACACCAGUGGCGAAGGCGACUUACUGGACUGUAACUGACGCUGAGGCAUGAAAGCGUGGGGAGCAAACAGG
rnacentral:rRNA from 1 species